CCUAACCCUAAUUCACGCGCAGCAGCAGCGCCUCCCUCUCUCCCUCAUUUUCUUCAUUCGAGUCUCUUUCUCACGCAGACAUGCAGGACGGCAGCAGCGGUGGUGGACUCGUCGUCGCUCUCAUUGAACCUUCGUGAGUCCCAGCUACAUCACUCUUCUCCUCCUCCUCUAUUCUUCUCACGCAGGAGCAGUGGUCGUUCUUCGCUGGCGCUGUCACUCUCGCUCCCAAUAACCAUGCUUCGGCACCCGUUCCGUGUCCCUCCAUGGCUCAACAUCCGUCGCGUUGUGUCUCCCUCUCUGAAGUCGUCGUGCUGUCAUCUCCCUCUCCUUCACUCGUCGCACCUCCGUUUCCAUCCCUCAACCCUCCUCCUCGCUACCCAUCAGUGCUGACUAUCAGCUAUGUUCAGCAUUUGCAGCGCCAUGGUAUUGAUGGUUAGGGUUUCGAUACUACAAGCAUUCAUGGCUGCAAGGGAAAUUGGUGCACUUCAAGAAGCAAAGGACAAACUUUAAGAAACGGUGGAGGAACUCACCUGGCGUCUCCAACUAGAAAAAAGUUUGCAGACCAACCUUGAAGAGUCCAAAGCACAAGAGAUAUCGAAACUGCAGAAUUCAUUACAUGAGAUGCAGGGUAUACUUGAUGAAACCACUACUCUGCUUGUCAAAGAGUGAGAGAAUGUAAAGAAGGUUACCAUCGAAGCAACUCCGGUUAUCCAAGAAAAGGAGGUUAUUAUUGAAGACACUGCAAAGAUUGAUGCACUAACAGUGAAAGUUGAGAGGCUAAAGGUAACCAUUUCAAAUAUUUUACUACUCUUAUAGACUAAUUUGAUAUCAUCUUAUGCUCAUAGUGAUAUACUUAAGUUCAUGUAUGUAGGUGCCUGAUGAUUAUCACAACUAAGUUGUGUUGCCUGUGCCUUUAUCUUUGAACAGACUUGCCUGUGCCUAAUCUGAUAAUGAGAUAUUAAUUUUAGCUUAAUAAUAAAUACCUUAAAAUUGCUUCUUCAAAAUUUAACUUCUUUAAUUUUCUAAUAUAAAUUAUUCAUAUGAAUAAUUUUAUCAAAGGGUCUACAAGAAAAACACUUUAUUUAAUUUAUUUAUUAAAUUAUUUUAGUACAUUGUGGCACCUAUUUAAGCACCAAAGAGUAAGUGCUUUUCUCUAUGUACCAUUAUGCCAAUAUCUCUGCUUAUUAGUGCUCUUUUUUGUCAUCCAAUUUAUUAGUGUUAGUGUGUGUGUAUGUGGAUUUUCAAUCCCAUCAUCAUUCAAUUAUUCAAGAUGAUGCACAGAAAUUCUCAAAGGCUUUUAUUCCUACUUCUCUUUUCUGGGUUUCUCUUAUCUUCUUUCUGCUUCUGCUAUCCCUACAACCAGUAAGAUAGGCCUUCAAAGUUGUUAAUGAAUAUUAUUGUAUCUAUUUUGUUUUAUUAUCAGUUAUUAUAGCAAUUGGAUAUAUCAUGGAAUUAAUAUAUUUAGAAUGACAAAUAAUUAAAAGAGAAUGGAAAAAGUAAUUAAUAUAUAUUAUUACUUGUUUUAAUUUGUGUCGAGUUUAAUAUGAUGAAUAAUUAGGGAUUAAUUUGAUUUAAUUUGUGUGAUUUAAGGGACCCAAAAUUUGGAUGGUGAAGAAUCUGAAGAUGCAUCACUUAUACUUUCUUUAGCUAAGGCAUCACUUCUUUAAUAUUGAUGGUUAUCUCUAGUUUAUUAACUUACUGUUUUAUUGUCAAACUUUUUUUUUGGAGACUAAAUCGUGAAUGUGUUGAGAUGCUAAUUGUCCUUGCUAUUUGAUUUAUGUUUUGCAUUAAUAAUCCUUGAUUUUGGGGGAUGGGGGUUCUUAAUCCUUUUUCAUUUAUAUCAGUUUCAUUUUGUGAAAAACUAAAGUAGACAACUAACUGAGACUUGGGCUAGAUGCUUUACUGUGAAUUCUUAUCCAGAUAUGUAUUACAAGUUUACACACAAUAGACAAUACUAGUAGUAGUUCAGCAAGGAUUCUUCAUGUUCGUUUCUUUGAUGAGGAAAAUGGUAGAGGGAAGGGGGUGCUACUGUGUAUUCUUCUCAUGCUACUGGUGCUGGGGUGUAUCCUGGUCCUACAAGUGCAGGGAUCUUUUCACCUGUCACAAGUCCUGGGGCCAAGAAGAAUGGUGGUGGUGCUGCUGCUGAUGGUGGGGGAAAGGAUCUUCACAUGUUUGUAUGGAGUUCAAGUGCUUCUCCUAUCUCAGAAGGUGGAAUCCAUGUCUUCAGAGGUGGAGAUUAUGGAAAUGAUCAUCUUGGUGGGGUAGCUCACCAGAAAGAUUAUGAAGAGUUUGGGCACGAUGAGUUCAGCUUUGGUAACAGAACAGUUGCUAAUGGUGUUGACAAGGAAAGGCCAGUGCUUUCAAAGCUUGGUUCAAGUUCCACAGCUGAGUUUCACCCCAAAAAUGGAGCUCAAGGUGAGUCCAAACCAACCAACAUGCCACCUACUAGUGUUAUGACAAGACUCAUCUUGAUCAUGGUUUGGAGGAAGCUGAUUAGGAAUCCCAACACUUACUCUAGCCUAAUUGGCCUCAUAUGGUCUUUGAUCUCAUUCAAUUUAUUGCUUUUUGUUUCAGGAGUCCUUCAAAGUUCAAAGAGACUUGUUCUUUGAUUGAUUUGAUUAGUCUCUGAAAAUGAAACUACAGGGUCACACAUUGCUACAAAGAGCAGCACUAACUACUUUUCCUUUCAAUUUCACCUCUAAUGGCACCACCACAACCCUAACCCUCUCUGUCUUUCGAUGCCACCAAAGUCUUCAUCAUGAACGCCUCAUAUUCAUUCCCACUUACACCAAAAUAGGACCCUCGCCACGUGUUGAUGUCAAUAACAACCAGUUACAACAAGAAGAGCAAGAUGAUCUAGAGGUCCGCGUUGAGAAGAUUAUAUAUAGAUGCCGCUUCUUGGCUACUUUUGGAGUCUUUGGUUAUUUAAUUGUGGAAAUUAAUCGUGAAUCGGGUGACAACAUUUUGUACUAUUUAAAGAAUUUCAUUUUUCUUGUUAGUUGGUAGAGGACAAGCAUAGAAUUUAUUAUAUAUAAUGUGACUUGUAAUUUUAAACUCUUAAAUUCCUUCCGUUCUUUUAUCCAUAUAAAAAGAGUACCCUAGUGUUUUCUUUC